AGACUGUACCAGAGUACUACGGGGCACGUGAAACCCUGUAGGAAGCCGGGAGGACCAUCUCCCAAGACUAAAUACUACUUAGUGACCGAUAGCGCAUAGUACCGUGAGGGAAAGGUGAAAAGAACCCCGGAAGGGGAGUGAAAUAGAACCUGAAACCGCAUGUUUACAAGCAACGGAAGACUUUGAAUGGUCGACCGUGUACUUUUUGUAGAACGGGCCAACGAGUUACGCUGUGUAGCAAGGUUAAGGUGUUCAGCACUGGAGCCGUAGGGAAACCGAGUCUUAAUAGGGCGACAUAGUUACAUGGCGUAGACCCGAAACCGGGUGACCUAUCCAUGAGCAGGGUGAAGCGAAAGUAAAAUUUCGUGGAGGCCCGAACCCAUAUCUGUUGAAAAAGGUUGGGAUGACUUGUGGAUAGCGGAGAAAUUCCAAUCGAACUCGGAGAUAGCUGGUUCUCCCCGAAAUAGCUUUAGGGCUAGCCUUAAAUUAAGAGUAACGGAGGUAGAGCACUGAAUACCUGCGGGGGCUUCAUCGCCUACCAAGGGUUAUCAAACUCCGAAUGCCGUAUACUUAUAUUUAGGAGUCAGACUAUGUAUGAUAAGAUUCAUGGUCAAGAGGGAAACAGCCCAGAUCGUCAGCUAAGGUCCCAAAAUAUAGAUUAAGUGGGAAAGGAUGUGGGAUUGCACAGACAACUAGGAUGUUGGCUUAGAAGCAGCCAUUCAUUUAAAGAGUGCGUAAUAGCUCACUAGUCGAGUGAUCCUGCGCCGAAAAUUACCGGGGCUCAAAUCUAUUACCGAAGCUACGGCUUGACACAUUAGUGUCAGGGGUAGGGGAGCAUUGUGUACUGACUGAAGCUAUACCGAAAGGCGUGGUGGACGGUACACAAGAGAGAAUGUUGGCAUAAGUAGCGCAAGGCAUGUGAGAAUCAUGCCCGCCGAAUACCCAAGGUUUCCUGAGGAAGGAUCGUCCUCUCAGGGUAAGUCAGGGCCUAAGCCGAGGACGAAAGUCGUAGGCGAUGGACAACAGGUAAAGAUUCCUGUACCACCAAAUAUCGUUUGAAAGAUGGAGUGACACAGUAGGAUAGGCUAAGCAUACGAUUGGAAAUGUAUGUGCAAAUAGUGAGGGAGUUAGAGCAGGCAAAUCCGCUUUAACAAUUCUGGGCUAUGAUGCGGAGUGAAAAUAAGUAACGAAGUAGCCGAUUUCACACUGUCAAGAAAAGCUUCUAUUGAGAUAUAAGGUGCCUGUACCGAGAACCGACACAGGUGGGAGAGUAGAGAAUACUAAGGCGAGCGAGAAAACUAUCGUUAAGGAACUCGGCAAAAUGACCCCGUAACUUCGGGAGAAGGGGUGCCGGAUCAGGUUUAGAGCUAGAUCCGGCCGCAGAGAACAGAUCCAAGCAACUGUUUAACAAAAACACAGGUCUAUGCUAAAUCGAGAGAUGAUGUAUAUGGGCUGACGCCUGCCCGGUGCUGGAAGGUUAAGAGGAAGUGUUAGCGUAAGCGAAGCUCUGAAUCGAAGCCCCAGUAAACGGCGGCCGUAACUAUAACGGUCCUAAGGUAGCGAAAUUCCUUGUCGGGUAAGUUCCGACCCGCACGAAAGGCGUAAUGAUUUGGAUACUGUCUCAACGAUGGACUCGGUGAAAUUGUAGUACCGGUAAAGAUGCCGGUUACCCGCAGCAGGACGGAAAGACCCCGUGGAGCUUUACUGUAGCUUGGCACUGGACUUUGAUAUAUCAUGUACAGGAUAGGUGGGAGACAUGGAAGCGUGUACGCUAGUAUGCGUGGAGUCGUCCUUUGGAUACCACUCUUGAUAUAUCAGUGUUCUAACCACGUGCUGUUAUCCAGCACUGGGACAAUGUCAGGUGGACAGUUUGACUGGGGCGGUCGCCUCCUAAAGAGUAACGGAGGCGCUCAAAGGUUCCCUCAGAAUGGUUGGAAAUCAUUCGUAGAGUGCAAAGGCAGAAGGGAGCUUGAUUGCGAGACAGACAAGUCGAGCAAGUACGAAAGUAGGACUUAGUGAUCCGGCGGUACCGAAUGGAAGGGCCGUCGCUCAACGGAUAAAAGCUACCCCGGGGAUAACAGGCUUAUCUCCCCCAAGAGUCCACAUCGACGGGGAGGUUUGGCACCUCGAUGUCGGCUCGUCUCAUCCUGGGGCUGAAGAAGGUCCCAAGGGUUGGGCUGUUCGCCCAUUAAAGAGGCACGCGAGCUGGGUUCAGAACGUCGUGAGACAGUUCGGUCCCUAUCCGCUGUGGGCGUAGGAAAUUUGAGAGGAUCUGUCCUUAGUACGAGAGGACCGGGAUGGACAAACCUCUGGUGUAUCUGUUGUUCCGCCAGGAGCACUGCAGAGUAGCUAAGUUUGGAAGGGAUAAGCGCUGAAGGCAUCUAAGCACGAAGCCCCCCUCGAGAUGAGAUUUCCCACUCUUCGGAGUUAAGACCCCAGAAAGACUAUCUGGUUGA
rnacentral:rRNA from 1 species